AUUUUAUAAUAUAAUAUUAAAACUAACAUUAACAUCUAUUUAUUUCCUCUUUCUAGCUGUAUAUAUGAACCAUCCUCCUUACUUCGUCCCCCUUCUUCUUCGUCCACGCCUAAUUUCUUGACCUAAAUUCCCUUCCUUUAUUUAAAUUUCCUCUUUAUUUUCUUCAGAUCCAGAGGAGGCUCGAUCUCUGAUUCUCCUUUUCUGGCUCUCCAGGUGUUGUUUCAACAGAAGACCGAAAAUGAAUCACUGUGGAAUCCAACAAACCAGUAACUUUUCGUCUUUCAACAACGGAGAGCCGGUGGUGUGUCCGAAGCCACGGCGGUUCCACCUCCUCAACACCGAUACUCGAAAACCUUUAACAUUUCAUUUGUGGUACGGUGUUCUGGAUCAGGAGAUAUACGAUUCAAAUUCUUGUGAACAAGCCUUACCCGCGUCGCCCCCUUAUUUCUGCGGGUCACCGCCGAGUAGAGUAUCUAACCCGUUAAUUCAAGACGCUCGUUUCAAAGAGGAAAAAUUAAGUUCAGUUUCACCAAAUUCGAUCAUUCCUCCAAACCCUAGCUCGGGUGGUGUAGCAUCAUCAUCAUCAUCAUCUCCGUCAUACAACAACAUCCGUACCACUUACAACAACAAACCUUCGGUUAGAAUUGAAGGCUUUAACUGCCUUGACAAUAAUCGCCGCAAUUGUCGUGUUCCUGCUUUGGCUUGAAUGAACCUGAUGUGUGUAGUGAUAUUGGGCGGUUAAUUUUAGGGUUGUGAAGAGGAAUUUUGGACAUCUUGUUGAAGAAGAAGAUUACAUGAAACUCUGUUAUAAUAUGUAAAUAGGGUUAAGAAGAAAAAGAGGUAUUUGUCUGUAUUUAGGGAGUUAUUAACAAAAAAUAAUGGUAGGAUAUGAAGAUGUUAUUAUUACGGUAUUACCCUUCUGGUUAUGAUUUGUAAGUAUAAACAAGGAAGGGGAUUUUCCAAAGGAAAAAUUUGUAUAAAAAUUCGUCGAUUAUUAUUUUACUUUGUAUAUAUGUGUACAUGUAAUAUCCAAGUAUUAUAUUCUAUUUUUGUUAA